AGUUUGAUCAUGGCUCAGAUUGAACGCUGGCGGCAUGCCUUACACAUGCAAGUCGGACGGCAGCGCGGGCUUCGGCCUGGCGGCGAGUGGCGAACGGGUGAGUAAUACAUCGGAACGUAUCCUGGAGUGGGGGAUAGCCCGGCGAAAGCCGGAUUAAUACCGCAUACGCUCUGAGGAGGAAAGCGGGGGACCUUCGGGCCUCGCGCUCAAGGGGCGGCCGAUGGCGGAUUAGGUAGUUGGUGGGGUAAAGGCCUACCAAGCCGACGAUCCGUAGCUGGUCUGAGAGGACGACCAGCCACACUGGGACUGAGACACGGCCCAGACUCCUACGGGAGGCAGCAGUGGGGAAUUUUGGACAAUGGGGGCAACCCUGAUCCAGCAAUGCCGCGUGUGUGAAGAAGGCCUUCGGGUUGUAAAGCACUUUUGUCCGGAAAGAAAUCAU
rnacentral:rRNA from 1 species